rnacentral:rRNA from 1 species
GACGAACGCUGGCGGCGUGGAUUAGGCAUGCAAGUCGAGCGACGGACGUCUUCGGACGUUACGGAGCGGCGAACGGGUGAGUAACACGUGAACAACCUACCCUCUCAUUCCGGAUAAUUGGCCGAAAGGCCUUGUAAUACGGGGGAGGAUCUUUUUUGGGCAUCCUUAGGAGAUCGAACAGGUAACUGGUGCGAGGAGGGGUUCGCGGAUUAUCAGCUAGUUGGUGAGGUAACGGCUCACCAAGGCGACGACGAUUAGCUGGUCUGAGAGGAUGGUCAGCCACAUUGGAACUGAGAUACUGUCCAGACUCCUACGGGAGGCUGCAGUCGAGAAUCUUGGGCAAUGCACGAAAGUGUGACCCAGCGACGCCGCGUGCAGGAUGAAGGCCCUCUGGGUUGU